CAGUCGAGAAUUUUUCUCAAUGGGCGAAAGCCUGAAGGAGCGACGCCGCGUGGGGGAUGAAUGGCUUCGGCCCGUAAACCCCUGUCAUUUGCGAACAAAUUGAUUCGCUUAAUACAUGAAUCAUUGAUUGUAGCGAAAGAGGAAGGGACGGCUAACUCUGUGCCAGCAGCCGCGGUAAUACAGAGGUCCCAAGCGUUGUUCGGAUUUACUGGGCGUAAAGGGUGCGUAGGCGGUUGGGUAAGUCUGACGUGAAAUCUCCGGGCCUAACCCGGAAACUGCGUUGGAUACUACUUGGCUAGAGGAAUGGAGGGGAGACUGGAAUACUUGGUGUAGCAGUGAAAUGCGUAGAUAUCAAGUGGAACACCAGUGGCGAAGGCGAGUCUCUGGACAUUUCCUGACGCUGAGGCACGAAAGCCAGGGGAGCAAACGGGAUUAGA
rnacentral:rRNA from 1 species